rnacentral:lncRNA from 1 species
CGCUUCAUUACGACUGCUCUGCUAAGGGCGCCUGUGACUCCUAACUGUUCUAAUUGACCCCCUAGUCCAUCCCUUCCCAGACCUGUCACCCAUGGGCUUGGGAGUUUAUCUCUGUAGCCUCCGGAACAUUCCUUGUGCCUCUCUGCUCCUUCCCGUGUCUCUCCUCUCAGCCUGUCCCUUAAAUAUGGCUGAUCCCCAGCCCCCACCACCAGGGCCAGGGCCUGGUGGGCCAGGAGGGACUCAGGCAGCAACACGGAAGGAGUCCCUGACUCUCGAGGCUGCAAGAUGCAGGGCCAACGCUGAGAGGAAGCCGCCUGCAGCCCUUCCGAAUGCUCCCUGGAGGUGACAACGGCUGGUGCUGGCAACACAGGUUUGGCGACCUGCAGAGACGGCCUCUCCAACACCUUGCACUUCAUUCAGGGGCCUCAGCUGAAACUCAGACAGAAAAGAACAAUUUUAAACAUCCCAUUGCACAGAUACAGAAAUAGCAUAAAAUAAAAUGCAAAAUGCAUAUGAUUUCCAAGACAAA